CACACCGUCAACGCCGUGCGUGCUCCUUGCACACGGGGUUUAGUCAGGCAACGAGCGAGACCCACGCCAACAGUUGCCAGCUCGUCCUCCGGGAUGGUGGGGACACUGUUGGGACCGCCUCUGCUAAAGAGGAGGAAGGAAUGGGCAACGGUAGGUCAGCAUGCCCCGAAUUAUCCGGGCUACACGCGGGCUACAAUGGGUGGGACAAUGGGUAUCGACACCGAAAGGUGAAGGCAAUCUCCUAAACCCAUCCUUAGUUCGGAUUGUGGGCUGCAACUCGCCCACAUGAAGC
rnacentral:rRNA from 1 species